rnacentral:rRNA from 1 species
GGUCGACGAUUGAGAGUUUGAUCCUGGCUCAGGAAGUAAAAGUCGUAACAAGGUAGCCGUAAAUGAGAGUUUGAUCCUGGCUCAGGACGAACGCUGGCGGCGUGCUUAACACAUGCAAGUCGAACGAGGCAGCAAUGCCUAGUGGCGGACGGGUGAGUAACACGUAGGUAACCUGCCUUGUAGUGGGGGAUACCCAUCCGAAAGGAUGGCUAAUACCGCAUACCCUUUGUCGUUGUGAUACGGCUCAGGAAAGAUUUAUCGCUACGAGAGGGGCCUGCGUAUGAUUAGCUAGUUGGUGAGGUAACGGCUCACCAAGGCGACGAUCAUUAGCUGGUCUGAGAGGACGAUCAGCCACACUGGAACUGAGACACGGUCCAGACUCCUACGGGAGGCAGCAGUGGGGAAUUUUCCGCAAUGGGCGAAAGCCUGACGGAGCAACGCCGCGUGGGUGAUGAAGAUUUUCGGAUCGUAAAGCCCUUUCAGCAGGGACGAAUACAAUGACGGUACCUGCAGAAGAAGCAUCGGCUAACUACGUGCCAGCAGCCGCGGUAAUACGUAGGAUGCAAGCGUUGUCCGGAAUUAUUGGGCGUAAAGCGAACGUAGGCGGUUACUUAAGUUUGGUCUUAAAGACCGGGGCUCAACUCCGGGAAUGGUCUGAAUACUGGGUGACUAGAGGAUGUCAGAGGAAAGUGGAAUUCCAAGUGUAGCGGUGAAAUGCGUAGAUAUUUGGAGGGACACCAGUGGCGAAAGCGGCUUUCUGGGACAUUCCUGACGCUGAGGUUCGAAAGCUCGGGGAGCAAACAGGAUUAGAUACCCUGGUAGUCCGAGCCGUAAACGAUGGACACUAGGUGUCGGGGGUAUCGACCCCCCCGGUGCCGUAGCUAACGCGUUAAGUGUCCCGCCUGGGGAGUACGGUCGCAAGACUGAAACUCAAAGGAAUUGACGGGGGCCCGCACAAGCGGUGGAGCAUGUGGUUUAAUUCGAUGCAACGCGAAGAACCUUACCAAGGCUUGACAUGUAGGGAACCUGGUAGAAAUACCGGGGUGCCGCAAGGAACCCUAACACAGGUGGUGCAUGGCUGUCGUCAGCUCGUGUCGUGAGAUGUUGGGUUAAGUCCCGCAACGAGCGCAACCCUCGAUGUUAGUUGCCAACGGGUAAUGCCGGGCACUCUAGCGUGACUGCCGGUGACAAACCGGAGGAAGGUGGGGAUGACGUCAAGUCAUCAUGCCCCUUAUGCCUUGGGCUACACACGUGCUACAAUGGCCAGGACAGUAUGAUGCAAUACCGCGAGGUGGAGCUAAUCACAAAACCUGGUCUCAGUUCAGAUUGCAGGCUGCAACUCGCCUGCAUGAAGGCGGAAUCGCUAGUAACCGCAGGUCAGCAUACUGCGGUGAAUACGUUCCCGGGCCUUGUACACACCGCCCGUCACACCACGAAAGUUUGUCACGCCCGAAGCCGGUGAGCUAACCGCAAGGAGGCAGCCGUCUAAGGUGGGGCAGAUGAUUGGGGUGAAGUCGUAACAAGGUAGCCGUAAAUCUCUAGAGGAUCCC